rnacentral:rRNA from 1 species
GUUUGAUCCUGGCUCAGAACGAACGCUGGCGGCAUGCCUCAUACAUGCAAGUCGAACGAAGCCUUCGGGCUUAGUGGCGAACGGGUGCGUAACGCGUGGGAACCUGCCCUUAGGUCCGGAAUAACAGUUAGAAAUGACUGCUAAUGCCGGAUAAUGUCUUCGGACCAAAGAUUUAUCGCCUUUGGAUGGGCCCGCGUAGGAUUAGGUAGUUGGUGUGGUAAUGGCGCACCAAGCCGACGAUCCUUAGCUGGUCUGAGAGGAUGAUCAGCCACUCUGGGACUGAGACACGGCCCAGACUCCUACGGGAGGCAGCAGUAGGGAAUAUUGGACAAUGGGCGAAAGCCUGAUCCAGCAAUGCCGCGUGAGUGAUGAAGGCCUUAGGGUUGUAAAGCUCUUUUACCAGGGAUGAUAAUGACGGUACCUGGUAAAGAAACCCCGGCUAACUCCGUGCCAGCAGCCGCGGUAAUACGGAGGGGGUUAGCGUUGUUCGGAAUUACUGGGCGUAAAGCGCACGUAGGCGGAUUAAUAAGUCAGGGGUGAAAUCCCGAGGCUCAACCUCGGAACUGCCUUUGAUACUGUUAAUCUUGAGUUCGAGAGAGGUGAGUGGAAUUCCGAG